GAUGAACGCUGGCGGCGUGCCUAAUACAUGCAAGUCGAGCGAACAGACGAGGAGCUUGCUCCUCUUACGUUAGCGGCGGACGGGUGAGGAACACGUGGAUAACCUACCUAUAAGACUGGGAUAACUUCGGGAAACCGGAGCUAAUACCGGAUAAUAUGUUGAAUCGCAUGGUUCAACAGUGAAAGACGGUCUUGCUGUCACUGAUAGAUGGAUCCGCGCCGCAUUAGCUAGUUGGUAAGGUAACGGUUUACCAAGGCAACGAUGCGUAGCCGACCUGAGAGGGUGAUGGGCCACACUGGAAUUGAGACACGGUCCAGACUCCUACGGGAGGCAGCAGUAGGGAAUCUUCCGCAAUGGGCGAAAGCCUGACGGAGCAACGCCGCGUGAGUGAAGAAGGUCUUCGGAUCGUAAAACUCUGUUAUUAGGGAAGAACAAAUGUGUAAGUAACUAUGCACGUCUUGACGGUACCUAAUCAGAAAGCAACGGCUAACUACGUG
rnacentral:rRNA from 1 species